CUACGUGCCAGCAGCCGCGGUAAUACGGAGGGUGCGAGCGUUAAUCGGAAUAACUGGGCGUAAAGGGCACGCAGGCGGACUUUUAAGUGAGGUGUGAAAGCCCCGGGCUUAACCUGGGAAUUGCAUUUCAGACUGGGAGUCUAGAGUACUUUAGGGAGGGGUAGAAUUCCACGUGUAGCGGUGAAAUGCGUAGAGAUGUGGAGGAAUACCGAAGGCGAAGGCAGCCCCUUGGGAAUGUACUGACGCUCAUGUGCGAAAGCGUGGGGAGCAAACAGGAUUAGAUACCCUGGUAGUCCACGCUGUAAACGAUGUCGAUUUGGGGGUUGAACUUUGAGUUUGGCGCCCGUAGCUAACGUGAUAAAUCGACCGCCUGGGGAGUACGGCCGCAAGGUUAAAACUCAAAUGAAUUGACGGGGGCCCGCACAAGCGGUGGAGCAUGUGGUUUAAUUCGAUGCAACGCGAAGAACCUUACCUACUCUUGACAUCCAGAGAACAUUC
rnacentral:rRNA from 1 species